GAUUGGAUUGAGCCUUAGUAUGGAAACCUGCUAAGUGGUAACUUCCAAAUUCAGAGAAACCCUGGAAUUAAAAAUGGGCAAUCCUGAGCCAAAUCUUUGUUUUGAAAGAAGAAACGAUGGAAAAUGAGAAGAAAAAGGGAUAGGUGCAGAGACUCAAUGGAAGCUGUUCUAACGAAUGAAAUUGACUACAUUAUGUACGUUACGUUAGUAGCUAAAAUAUUUCUAUAUAUACCUAAUACGUACGUAUACAUACUGAUAUAGCAAACGAUUAAUCACAACCCAAAUCUUCUAUUUCUUCUUUCUUUCUAUUCUUCUAUUCUAUAUUAUUUAUAUUCUAGAAUAUAGAAGAUUUAUCUAAUAUAUUUAGAUAAUAUAUUAGUCUAAGUAUAUAUAGAAAGUCUAAAGAAAUAAGAUGAGAUAAGGAUCUAUAGAAACCCUCUAGUUCUAUAUUUCUAUUCUCUAUGAAUUAGAAUGAUAGAGAUCAAAAACUAUAUGAAAAAUUGAAGAGUUAUUGUGAAUCAAUUCCAAUUGAAGUUGAAAAAAGAAUGGAAUUCAAAUAUUCAGUGAUCAAAUGAUUCAUUCCAGAGUUUGAUAGAUCUUUUUAAGAUUAAUCGGACGAGAAUAAAGAGAGAGUCCCUUUUUACAUGUCAAUACCGACAACAAUGAAAUUUAUAGUAAGAGGAAAAUCCGUCGAAUUUUUAAAUCGUGAGGGUUCAAGUCCCUCUAUCCCCA
rnacentral:ncRNA from 1 species